CUGCACCAAAAUGGAGGAAGGGUGGCACACUAUACUGCACCAAAAUGGAGGAAGGGUGGCACACUAUACUGCACCAAAAUGGAGGAAGGGUGGCACACUGUACUGCAACAAAAUGGAGGAUGAGUGGCACACUAUACUGCACCGAAAUGGAGGAAGGGUGGCACACUAUACUGCACCAAAAUGGAGGACGAGUGGCACACUGUACUGCAACAAAAUGGAGGAAGGGUGGCACACUAUACUGCACCAAAAUGGAGGACGAGUGGCACACUAUACUGCACCAAAAUGGAGGAUGAGUGGCACACUAUACUGCACCAAAAUGGAGGAUGAGUGGCACACUAUACUGCACCAAAAUGGAGGAAGGGUGGCACACUGUACUGCAACAAAAUGGAGGAUGAGUGGCACACUGUACUGCACCAAGUGUGUGGCCUCUCAUCAGACCUGGGUUGAAUACUGUUUAAAAUAUUUGAUGAAAGUGUUUGACCUGAGCUUGAUUCAGCUUGGAGUGUGUACUUUUGUAACUAUUCUAUUGGUUCAUGGAUUUCACUGUACCUGACUGACUAACUAAAUCAAGUGCAACUGAAAUAUGUAGCAGUAUAAAAUAUAUAUAUAUUUGUCACCAAUACAAUCAAGUAGCUUUUGGUAGGUUAUAUUGUGUUAUCCUUAAAAUGUUUUUGUUGUUGUUGGUCAUUCUAGUAGCUGACCUGUCUGGCCUUGAUCCUCUGCUGAAAGAGGUAGACCAGGAACUUGUUGAGCAUGUCCACAGUCUGAGACGAGAUAUCAGGACCACAGCCUGAGACGAGAUAUCAGGUCCACAGCCUGAGACGAGAUAUCAGGUCCACAGCCUGAGACGAGAUAUCAGGUCCACAGCCUGAGACGAGAUAUCAGGUCCACAGUCUGAGACGAGAUAUCAGGUCCACAGCCUGAGACGAGAUAUCAGGUCCACAGUCUGAGACGAGAUAUCAGGACCACAGCCUGAGACGAGAUAUCAGGUCCACAGCCUGAGACGAGAUAUCAGGUCCACAGCCUGAGACGAGAUAUCAGGUCCACAGUCUGAGACGAGAUAUCAGGUCCACAGCCUGAGACGAGAUAUCAGGUCCACAGCCUGAGACGAGAUAUCAGGUCCACAG
rnacentral:lncRNA from 1 species